AUACGAAGGGUGCAAGCGUUGUUCGGAUUUACUGGGCGUAAAGCGCGCGCAGGCGGAUUGGUAAGUCAGAUGUGAAAUCUCGGGGCUCAACCCCGAAACUGCGUCUGAAACUAUUAAUCUAGAGUCUUGGAGAGGGAAGGGGAAUUUCACAUGUAGGGGUAAAAUCCGUAGAGAUGAGAAGGAACACCAGAGGCGAAGGCGCCUUCCUGGACAAGUACUGACGCUGAGGCGCGAAAGCGUGGGGAGCAAACAGGAUUAGAAACCCUAGUAGUCC
rnacentral:rRNA from 1 species